GAGACAUGAAUGACACAGUUAAGUUUGUUUUUUUCCAUUUAUAAUUUAGUUUAAUUCUGUCUCUGUGGGUUAGAUUAGUGAAGUAGUUUAUGCUAUGUACCGCGAAUAUGUUCAAUGCGGAAUGCAUUUAAAAUGUUCAUUUUGCUCGUAUUUUUCAUUCGAAAUUUAGUAAUUGAUCAUCGUUUUUAACAUGGAUGUAACACAAAAUAUAAAUUACCUAGAUAUAUGUCUGCCAGCCGUGGUUCUUGUAACUUAUGGAAUGUUAUAAGAUGAUAUGGUUAUAGGAUGUUCGUGCACACACAUAAAUUAUUAUUGUACACCACGGUUUGAACGUUUUUCCUUGUUAACAUUCCAAUGUUUGCCACAUUUAAAGCACACACAAAAAACAAUUGGCCACAAAUUAAACAAAAAAACGUUUUUAAUUGCACCCGAAAUGCCACUUUUCGUUAAAUGAUCGAACGAGAUAUCGAAACGCGCACACAAUUUAAUAAUUUUCACUUUGAAUCGAUUUGAUGAAGAUCGACCGUAAAGAAUGGCUUUUGUGAAAAGUUACUGUACAGCGACACACAAAUCUCAUAUGCAAAUAUUUUAAAACGAAAUUCUUUUAAUCGAGACCGAUCUAGGUGUGAAUGUAUUUAGUGUUUAAAUCAGAAAUUAUUUUUUUUUAUUAUUACAUUUUUGUUGUUGUUGCUGUUGCUGUUAACUUUCCGUAGGUAUAUUUUCUUUGGUUUACAGAAAGGAAAA